rnacentral:rRNA from 1 species
CAAUACCGCGUGAGGGACGAAGGCCUGUGGGUUGUACWCCUCUUUUGUUAGGGAAGAUAAUGACGGUACCUAACGAAUAAGCAUCGGCUAACUCCGUGCCAGCAGCCGCGGUAAGACGGAGGAUGCAAGCGUUAUCCGGAAUUAUUGGGCGUAAAAGCGUACUGUAGGCUGGCUAAUUAAGUCUGUUGUCAAAGCCCUGAGGCUCAACCUUGGAUCAGGCAAUGGAAACUGAAUAGCUAGAGAGAGAUAGGGGCAGRAGGAAUUCCMGGUGUAGCGGUGAAAUGCGUAGAUAU